CCCGGCUCCGCCCCGCCCCCGGGCGGGCUUGCGCCGCUCCCCGGGAAUUGCGCAGGGCCCGCGGGGCUGACGGGCGUGGGGGGCGGGGAGCUCCGGCGGCGCCCAGGGCCCGAGAGGGGCCGAAUCACAGACCCUUAAUCCCCAAUCCGGAUCUCGGGCGCCCCCACCCCCCAACUUCGCUUGGAGUCCCCGCAGGCGCCGCCCCCGCACUGAGGUUGCCUGGACAGGGAAGGCGGGGGAGCGGGAGCACCGCGUCCAUUUCAUUCAUGAUUUUCUCCUCUUGGGAGCCCCGGGCCUGGGCUGCGCCGCUACGGCAGCCGCCAGAGGGACCCCGGCGGGGCAGUGCGCGCUCAACCCGGUGCAGGACGGACAGGCAGGCAUAUAGAGAAUACAACAUCCUCAUGGGCAGGCGUCCUUGUCUGGUUCAAUCACUGAUGGAUCCUGAGGGUCGCGGAAAAUGCCUGGUAUAUAGCAGGAGGCGGUGUUCCCAGAGGUUCCUGCUCCUCCACCCUCAUUUCCUGGAGUGCUUCUCUUUCUUCUGUGUCACCUGCGUUCUGUGCUCAGACACUUAGAGCUUAUUUUCUGCCUCAGGACCUUUGCACUGCCUGGGAUACUGGCCCCUUAUCUCCACAUGGUUGGUAACUUCUUGACACAUCCCCUCUCCUAGCCAGUCUUCCCUGAAUGUACAACUUGUACUCCUAUCCUGACCACCCUCCA